rnacentral:rRNA from 1 species
UUUUUCGCCUAAGGAUGGGUCUGCGGCCGAUUAGGUAGUUGGUUAGGUAAUGGCUUACCAAGCCGUUGAUCGGUACGGGUUGUGAGAGCAAGAGCCCGGAGAUGGAACCUGAGACAAGGUUCCAGGCCCUACGGGGUGCAGCAGGCGCGAAACCUCCGCAAUGUGAGAAAUCGCGACGGGGGGAUCCCAAGUGCCAUUCUUAACGGGAUGGCUUUUCAUUAGUGUAAAGAGCUUUUGGAAUAAGAGCUGGGCAAGACCGGUGCCUGCCGCCGCGGAAACACCGGCAGCUCUAGUGGUAACAAUUUUUAUUGGGCCUAAAGCGUCCGUAGCCGGUUUAAUAAGUCUCUGGUGAAAUCCUGUAGCUUAACUGUGGGAAUUGCUGGAGAUACUAUUAGACUUGAGACCGGGAGAGGUUAGAGGUACUCCCAGGGUAGAGGUGAAAUUCUGUAAUCCUGGGAGGACCGCCUGUUGCGAAGGCGUCUAACUGGAACGGUUCUGACGGUGAGGGACGAAAGUUAGGGGCGCGAACCGGAUUAGAUACCCGGGUAGUCCUAACUGUAAACGAUGCGGACUUGGUGUUGGGGUGGCUUUGAGCUGCUUCAGUGCCGAAGGGAAGCUGUUAAGUCCGCCGCCUGGGAAGUACGG